rnacentral:misc_RNA from 1 species
GAUGAAGAACGUAUCGAAAUGCGAUACUUGGUGUGAAUUGCAGAAUCCCGUGAACCAUCGAGUCUUUGAACGCAAGUUGCGCCCGAAGCCAUUAGGCCGAGGGCACGCCUGCCUGGGCGUCACACGUCGUUGCCCCCCCAUCUACUCCUUCGGGAUUGCGGGGGGCGGAUGAUGGCCUCCCGUGCGCCUCGCCGCGCGGUUGGCAUAAAUGCCAAGUCCUCGGCGACGCACGCCACGACAAUCGGUGGUUGCGAAACCUCGGUUGCCCGUCGUGUGCGGUCGUCGCGCAUCGAGGGCUCGAAAAAAUUGCCGGGUUCCGGCUCGGCUUUCAACGCGACCCCAGGUCAGGCGGGGUUACCCGCUGAAUUUAAGCAUAUCAAUAAGCGGAGGA